GGCGGCUUGGCCAAGGGGUAAGGCAACGGCCUGCAAAGCCGUUAUUCUCCGGUUCAAAUCCGGAAGCCGCCU
rnacentral:tRNA from 1 species